UACGUAGGUGACAAGCGUUUGUCCGGAUUUACUGGGCGUAAAGAGCGCGCAGGCGGUCGUUCAAGUCGAGUGUGAAAGCCCCCGGCUCAACUGGGGAGGGUCAUUCGAUACUGAUCGACUCGAAGGGCAGGAGAGGGAAGUGGAAUUCCCGGUGUAGUGGUGAAAUGCGUAGAUAUCGGGAGGAACACCAGUGGCGAAGGCGACUCCUGGCCUGUUCUUGACGCUGAGGCGCGAAAGCUAGGGGAGCAAACGGG
rnacentral:rRNA from 1 species